UAUGGGGGGGCAAGCGUUGUUCGGAAUUACUGGGCGUAAAGGGUUGUAGGUGGCUUGUUAAGUCAGACGUGAAAUCCCUUACGAGUCUAACUGGGGAACUGCGUCUGAUACUGGCGAGCUUGAGUGCAGGAGAGGAACGCGGAAUUCCAGGUGUAGCGGUGAAAUGCGUAGAUAUCUGGAGGAACACCGGUGGCGAAGGCGGCGUUCUGGACUGCAACUGACACUGAGAAACGAAAGCCAGGUAGCAAACGGG
rnacentral:rRNA from 1 species